rnacentral:rRNA from 1 species
GGCUCAGGAUGAACGCUAGCGGCAGGCCUAACACAUGCAAGUCGAGCGGUAGGGAGGCUUCGGCCUCCUGAGAGCGGCGCACGGGUGCGUAACGCGUAUGCAACCUACCCUCUACAGGGGAAUAGCCCGUCGAAAGGCGGAUUAAUGCCCCAUGGCUCCUUUGAGAGGCAUCUCUUAAGGGAUAAAGAUUCAUCGGUAGAGGAUGGGCAUGCGUGCCAUUAGCUAGAUGGUGGGGUAACGGCCCACCAUGGCUACGAUGGCUAGGGGUUCUGAGAGGAAGGCCCCCCACACUGGACUGAGACACGGCCCAGACUCCUACGGGAGGCAGCAGUGAGGAAUAUUGGUCAAUGGGCGGAAGCCUGAACCAGCCAUGCCGCGUGCGGGAAGAAGGCGCUACGCGUCGUAAACCGCUUUUGUCCGGGGGUAACCGCGGGGACGUGUCCCCGCCUGCAAGUACCGGACGAAUAAGGGUCGGCUAACUCCGUGCCAGCAGCCGCGGUAAUACGGAGGACCCGAGCGUUAUCCGGAUUCAUUGGGUUUAAAGGGUGCGUAGGCGGCCCGGUCAGUCAGCGGUGAAAGGCUCCUGCUCCACAGGAGAGCUGCCGUUGAUACUGCUGGGCUAGAAUCUUAGCGAGGCGGGCGGAAUGCGCGGUGUAGCGGUGAAAUGCAUAGAUAUCGCGCAGAACGCCGAUUGGGGAGCCAGCUCGCCAGCUGAGUAUUGACGCUGAGGCACGAAAGCGUGGGGAUCAAACAGGAUUAGAUACCCUGGUAGUCCACGCCGUAAACGAUGAUAGCUCGCUCUUGGCCCGCAAGGGUCAGGGGCUUAGCGAAAGCGUUAAGCUAUCCACCUGGGGAGUACGCCGGCAACGGUGAAACU